GACGAACGCUGGCGGCGUGCUUAACACAUGCAAGUCGAACGAAGAGCGAUGGGAGCUUGCUUCUAUCAAUCUUAGUGGCGAACGGGUGAGUAACGCGUAAUCAACCUGCCCUUCAGAGGGGGACAACAGUUGGAAACGACUGCUAAUACCGCAUACGAUCUAAACUCGGCAUCGAGGAUAGAUGAAAGGUGGCCUCUACAUGUAAGCUAUCACUGAAGGAGGGGAUUGCGUCUGAUUAGCUAGUUGGAGGGGUAACGGCCCACCAAGGCGAUGAUCAGUAGCCGGUCUGAGAGGAUGAACGGCCACAUUGGGACUGAGACACGGCCCAGACUCCUACGGGAGGCAGCAGUGGGGAAUCUUCCGCAAUGGACGAAAGUCUGACGGAGCAACGCCGCGUGAGUGAUGACGGCCUUCGGGUUGUAAAGCUCUGUUAAUCGGGACGAAAGGCCUUCUUGCGAAUAGGGAGAAGGAUUGACGGUACCGGAAUAGAAAGCCACGGCUAACUACGUG
rnacentral:rRNA from 1 species